UAAAAUAGGCCCACUUGUCCUCGGA
rnacentral:piRNA from 1 species